GGGUUGUGGUUCAGUGGUAGAGCACUUGCCUGGCAUGUGUGAGGCACUGGGUUUGAUCCCCAGCCCCA
rnacentral:tRNA from 1 species